rnacentral:rRNA from 1 species
AGUGGCGAAAGGGCGAGUAAUGCGAUCGAACGUGCCCCGAGGUGGGGGAUAGCGUCGGGAAACUGACGGUAAUACCCCAUGUCCUCUACGGAGAAAAGGUUUACCGCCUUGGGAGCGGCGAUCGUCCUAUCAGCUUGUUGGUGAGGUAACGGCUCACCAAGGCGAAGACGGGUAGCGGGUGUGAGAGCAUGACCCGCCGCAUCGGGACUGAGACACUGCCCGGACUCCUACGGGAGGCUGCAGUAACGAAUCUUCCGCAAUGGGCGAAAGCCUGACGGAGCAAUGCCGCGUGUGGGAUGAAGCGUCUUCGACGUGUAAACCACUGUCAGGGAAUAGAAACACUGAUCAUUCCCAGAGGAAGGGCCGGCUAAUUCCGUGCCAGCGGCCGCGGUAAUACGGAAGGCCCGAGCGUUAAUCGGAAUCACUGGGCUUAAAGCGUGCGCAGGCGGACCUGUAGGCAUCUCGUGAAAUCCCACGGCUCAACCGUGGAACUGCGGGGUGAACCACAGGUCUUGAGACAAGUAGGGGCUGAUGGAACCAUGGGUGGAGCGGUGAAAUGCGUAGAUAUCCAUGGGAACGCCGAUGGCGAAGGCAGUCAGCUGGGCUUGUUCUGACGCUCAGGCACGAAAGCGUGGGGAGCGAACGGGAUUAGAUACCCCGGUAGUCCACGCCGUAAACGAUGCGCACUAGGUCGGGGCGGGUUUCACCCCUUCUCGGCCGAAGGUAAACUGAUUAGUGCGCCGCCUGGGGAGUACGGUCGCAAGGCUAAAACUCAAAGGAAUUGACGGGGGCUCACACAAGCGGUGGAGCAUGUUGCUUAAUUCGAGGCAACGCGAAGAACCUUACCAGGGUUUGACAUGCAUGGAUUAACCUUUC